AGCUGUCGACUGGGCUCAGAGGAAUGAGGGGUGAAAUUUGAGGUCAUAUCCCGGGAGAGAGGAAGAAGGGUCGUGAGUCACCGAACCCGAAGGAGAGGAAAAGAUGUGGAGGCAGCGGUCUAUGGCCUCUUCCAGCUCCGGACGGGGGAUGGGGACGCUCUGGGCAAUACGGGCCUCAGUUAUUGUCCCACUGUCCUUUCAACCCUUAACCAACCCAGUUGGAGGCCGCCUGGAAGAAUGUAGCCUUGGAACUAGGGCCUGGAAUUGGGGCUCCUACCGGUUGUGUGGGCUUGGGCAAGUCACUUAACCUUCCCGCAUGCUCCCUUCACUUGGCAACUGAGGGUAACAAUAGUAGUUGAUGAGAAGAUUAAAUAAACUCUGAUAAAUGCCAACAGUGGCUGGCACUCAACAGGCAUUCAAUCAAGGCUGAUUCUUCCCCCAUCACCCACUCACCUCAUCCGGCUGGGAAACUAGGCCCAUUUCUAAAAUUCUAUGAGCCUGAAACUGCUUUUGCAAUGGCAUGUCGUGUACCAAGAAUAGAACACUUGAGCGACUUGAAAUGCAACCCCUGUAGGGCAGACAAGGCCACCCUACCAAGGCCCCAUAGGGCUCGGAGAGAGGGAGCAGGGGAUGAAAUGAGAGGAGCGAUUUAGUCAGAGAAGGGAAGUGGCAUUUGUUACCAUGUAAAUUUUUCCCAACAUAUUUCAGGUUGUGACAAGGAACAGUGGGCUGGCUCAAGUUUUAUGGAGCGUAACCAAAUAACAUCCUUUGAAGGCUGAUCAGCACCGGACCAGAAAUCAUUGCAUGAGCUCUAUCUGUCAGAGACCCCUGAAACCCAUUCCCCAUUCUGAAGGUGUAGACAUCACAGAGUGUGGACAGAAAUAGCUUCUCAGGCCUGAAUGUAGCCCCAGACCCUUUGUGUCUGUCUUUG
rnacentral:lncRNA from 1 species